GACGAACGCUGGCGGCGUGCUUAACACAUGCAAGUCGAACGGAAAGGCCCUGCUUUUGUGGGGUGCUAGAGUGGCGAACGGGUGAGUAACACGUGAGUAACCUGCCCUUGACUUUGGGAUAACUUCAGGAAACUGGGGCUAAUACCGGAUAGGAGCUCCUGCUGCAUGGUGGGGGUUGGAAAGUUUCGGCGGUUGGGGCUGGACUCGCGGCUUACCAGCUUGUUGGUGGGGUAGGGGCUUACCAAGGCUUUGACGGGUAGCCGGCCUGAGAGGGUGACCGGCCACAUUGGGACUGAGAUACGGCCCAGACUCCUACGGGAGGCAGCAGUGGGGAAUAUUGCACAAUGGGCGGAAGCCUGAUGCAGCAACGCCGCGUGCGGGAUGACGGCCUUCGGGUUGUAAACCGCUUUCGCCUGUGACGAAGCGUGAGUGACGGUAAUGGGUAAAGAAGCACCGGCUAACUACGUG
rnacentral:rRNA from 1 species